rnacentral:rRNA from 1 species
UUCGUAGGCGGUGCGGCAAGUCGGGAGUGAAAUCUCUGGGCUUAACUCAGAGGCUGCUUCCGAAACUGCCGUGCUCGAGUGUGGGAGAGGCGCGUGGAAUUGCAGGUGUAGCGGUGAAAUGCGUAGAUAUCUGCAGGAACACCCGUGGCGAAAGCGGCGCGCUGGACCACAACUGACGCUGAGGAACGAAAGCUAGGGGAGCAAACAGGAUUAGAUACCCUGGUAGUCCUAGCCCUAAACGAUCAGGACUUGGGGUGGCGCCCGUUCGGGCGUCGUCCCGGAGCUAACGCGUUAAGUCCUGCACCUGGGGAGUACGGUCGCAAGACUGAA